GGAUCUGGGGGGGUGGAGGGGUCGUGCGCAGGUGCAGCUGGACGCCCGUGGGAGCGCGCGCCCAGGAGGACGUUGGGCCCCGAGGGGUGGCAGCAGGCGGUCCCCUAAGGGACCCUCCCUUAGACAUCCCACCGUCCUAGAGGCCCCGUGUUGGCAGAGCAGGGGCGCACGCCGACCACCCGGCUCCCACCCUCGCCUUGGCGUUGCCGCACGGGGAAAAGACAAUGCCGGGAGAGAUCCAAUCCACGAGUCCCAAGUGGAAGACCGAAGGGCGGGGCGAGGUCGACGCUCCUCGGCUCCCUGAUGGGGUGGGGGUGGCGAAGAGAACUCAGCCCGUUAACAUGCAAGUCUGAUCCCCCUCUUCUCUGAGGAUGGAUUGUAGCCUGCUUGGCAGUGUGUAAACCACGUUCAGAUAGCACGCGGACCCUUACAAAAUACAAGGGUGCAGUUCUGCCACCUGUAGAGAGAGCAUCUUGGGGCAGAGAACGAAGAAGCGCCACGACCCCCCACCCAGCUCCUUUUUCAAAAUCUGGUAUCCAGGUCCGGGUAAACGGAUAGAGGAAAUGUUGGAGGAUGAGAGCAGUGGCCUGUGUGGACCCAGCCUGGUCCUCAUGCAUCUGAGUCCAGCCACCAGCAGCUUUUCAGUUCCCCUAUUGGGCGAGCUAAGAGUGGAGAGAAAUAGUCGUUUUCUUAUUUUGUUCUCAUGGUGAGGAAGUGAAAAGCAGAAGGGAACUCUAAAUGAAGGCGCCUCUCUCGAGUGGUUGGACACGUCUACUUUGGAAAGGACCCUGCACGUGUGGCCCAUUCAGCGUUGUUCUUAGGGAUUUAAAGAAAGAAGCCUGCCGUGUUAUUAAUCACCCACUCAACUCCGUAUACUCUAAGUUGCUCUGUACAGCAGUGCAAGGGUGAAUAAAAGGGACACCAUCAGUUUAAACCAGUCGGUGCUCCUCCGUCUUUACCAACUGCCCCCCUGCUCUGGGCUGUCAUCACAGAAACCCCACUGGCUCCUGCCUGCACCUCGAGGUUCCACUUAAUGGAGCAGGAAACGCUGUAGGGAGUGCCCCUUGUCACCGCUCAGUGCCUAGCCAUUUGCCCCCUUGUCCAGUCUGCUCUAGCCAGUACAAAGCCUUCUGACUGUUCCUUGUGACUGGAACAUUCUUUGCCAGGUCUUUGAAAUAAGUUACUUCACAUUGGUUUGUCUUAGGUUAACUAUUACCCCCCUCAAGUCCUUUCCUUGCUUCCUCAGGCCCCUGGGCUUAAAUUCAGCCCAGUUGCUGUUUUUGUUUGUUUGUUUAUUUUGUUUUUAACCUGUCAGUUUCAAACCUCCCAUAGUAGACUAUGACAUGCUUAUGAAGUCCUCUGACUCUCUCUCUACACAGCAUACCAGAUUGGUUAUUGAGCAUCUAAUAUGACAGUUGAUCUGGUGUGUUGUGUUCACGUGAAUGAACAGGUGUCUACAUGCUUUGCCUUUCAGUGAUUUCCAACUUAGAAAAGAUUUGUCUUGGUGUUAUUUUUGACCUUCACUAGGCGGCUUCAGCAGAUGAGAGCCUCUCCAUGUUGAUCAUUCAGAAUGAGGCUGUGUUCAUUCAGAAUGAUGUCUGGGGCAUGACGGGCUCUUAGCAGCUUCCUAUUCAGUGAACAAAAGACACAACUUCAGCCAGACAAUGGUGUCACACACAGAACUGGUGAGGCAGAGGCAGAAAGGUCAUGAGUUCAAGGCCAGUCUAGGCAACUUAAUGAGACCUUGUUUUAAAAAUCCCAGGGAAGGGCCCUAUGAGGUGACUCAGCAGGAAGGCGCUUCCGCCAAACGUGACCACCAGAGUCCAGUCCUCUGGUGAGAGAACCGACCCCUACGCACACAAUACACAUGCACAAGGGUACCACUGCAUCCUGUUAACUAAACUCUCCUCUCUACUCCGGUGUCCUUAUGAUGACUGGUAUUCUGUAUUACAAUGUAGGCCCCCUGGUAGGGAUCCCGUGCUGUGCUUUGGAAACACCAUGCCACUUCUUACUACCUUGCAGCAUCAAAACUGUUAAGAGCUCUAUUCAGAACAUUUCUCAGUGUCUGCCAGACGUCAGUCAGACACUGGGACUUGAGGGGUGCACCAGAACAUGGGCCAUGGUCCUUAUCCUUAGAAAUGCACAUCCAAGUAAAAAGGACAGAAAAUUAGCAAUUAAGAAAAGACGGUUUCAGAGUGAGAUGGGAGAGGGUUAAGGAAGUGAAGUAAUAGGUGACUGGAUCGUUCUCUCCACUAGAAGGAGACAUUUAAACUGAGUCUUGAAUGACAGAGGCAGUCAAGGGAACCCAGGAAGAGGCUUCCAGGCAGCAGGCUGGAGCUAGUGUUGAGCCGAAACAAGGCCAGCUGGGCCACAGGGAUGUGAUCCGAUUUAUAUUUUCAGUCUUCCCUGCUGCUGAGCUCUUAGAGCUGACUUUCUGGUGUCAGUGACCUGUUCCAAUGGCUUCUGUUCUUCAUGUCCCUAGGCAGUGUUAAUAUCCUUAAAUAUGUAAAACCAAGUGAAUGUUAAAAAAAAAAGUCCUUUUUACCUCCAGUGAUUGCCUGUGAUGAAAA